rnacentral:lncRNA from 1 species
UCAGCCUCAAGUGACUGGAGCUUCCAGGACAGCGUGCGUUCAGUUUCAGAAGAUUCCAGAACUCUGUCAAAUGUUGCCCAGCAGAUGAUAGGCAAUUUGCUACAACUCAAUAUUUCAGGAAUGAGCACCGCCUCUCUAUGAAAUCAACAAACACUCUCAGAAGACGAAAGAGGCAGCAUGUCCAGGGUCUGUGAAACGAAGAUUCAACAAGAGCCACAAAACACACACUCCGUUUCAAGAUAGAGAAGAUGGCUUCAGAGUGAAGCUCACUUCCUUGAGGUAGACAUGUCCAGG